AGUCAUAGUGGGCUGCUCCCGCCAGCCUCAAAGGGAGGGGAAGAGCGUGGCUGGAGCUGCCAAUUGAAUAGGCGCAGGAGGCUUUCUUUUCUUCCCGGUGCCGGCAGCAGGGCGUCCCAGCUGGGCUUAUCCGGGGUGGCCGUUGCAAAAUUCAGCGGAUGGCACAGAUAAAAGGAAAGAUGCUCGCUGGGGUCCCAGAGGCUUUGAGCCUCGGGUUAGCGAUGCCGGGGGUUGAACCGGGAUGGCUUUGCUUGCCAAUCGGGGUGUUUUCAGCCCUGCUGCCCGUGGCCUUUCCCAGCCUUUGAAAAGGAAUAGGGUGUUGUAGCUGCUUGCCAAUACUGUAAGCUUUUUUUUUUUCCCCUGAUCGAAGCGUGGCUCGGUUUUGAACGCCGUUGGUGAAUGACUACUGCUAAAAAUACCAGGUGAUGUGCUGACAGCCGAUAUUGUCACAGCCUCAGACUGCCUAAACCUGUUUCCCACCUGAAAAUUGCCACAAAGACAGUCCUGGUAGAAUUGCUGUGAUGUCACAAAAUGACAUACUAACAAAUGCUACAGAACUUCUGAAGUGCAACUGUUUGGAGAAGAAAGUGAUCUGGGUAUAUGUAAUUGGAAAGUCCCAAUUAUUUUAUAAAUGAUUCAUCCUUUUCUUAUGAUGGUCAUAGUCAUCUAGAUCAGUCAUUUAAUUGAACAUGCCCUUUUCAAAUUAGCCUGAUGUUUUAUUUCUCUUUUUAAUUUGUAAGCUUUGCAUCUCACUUUUUAUUCAGGAGAUCAAGAUGAUGUUAUAAUAUUCCCUCUUUCUAUAUUUCCCAACACCGAUACCCCUGUGAGUUAGGUUGGGUUAACAGAGAUUGAAUGGCUUAAAAUCACCCACGACCUUUUGUGACUGAAGGUGGAUUUGAAUCUGAGCUUCCUUGGUGCUUGUCCAAUACCUUAAUCUCUUCACCACACUGGCUCUCUAAUGCUGUGUCAGUUACCAGCUUUUGCAAUCAGUAGAUUCUACAUGUGGCCACAAUGUCAUAUUCGAGACAUUUAGAGUAGUGAUUGCUGUAGAAUAUUUAACUAAGUCUUUCUGAACACACCAAACCCUGCUAUAUGAGAGCAAGAACAUGGUCCUAAGAAAAGCUAAUGGAAAUUCAUGUACAGUAUUAAGAUUUUUGUUUUAAGAUUGUAAAACUGUUUCAUUGCAUGAUCUUAUUUAACAAACACGUUUUGCUGGCUUCAAACUUCUUGGCCAUAGGGCCGCAACCUAAGGUGAUUCUUCCCUUUUAACUGACAUUCAGGAAAGUAUCAAAAUCAUCCUGAACUGACUUCUAAGCAACUAGGCAAACUCUUCAAAAUCUAGGGAUUGUCCAGCUACAGGGCAGAGUUAAAUAAGUUCCAACUGAAAGCAUAUCUUUUUUGAUCCCAUCUUACUGAGACAUAAAAAGCUUCCUCGCUUAUAGAGCUAAGUAAAGUUUUGAAAGGAGAAAAAUGGAUCAAUUUUGACUCUGAAUAUAAUAUGAAAAUUAUAUGGUAAUUGUUAUGCAGAUAGACAGCAGUAGGGUAUAUUAUCUUCAACAAAAAAUGGGAAUGAGAAAAAAAUGGGAAAACAUUUUUAUUUAUGUUUCCACAAAGACAAAGAAAUCAUUUUUAAGAGAGAGAAGAACGAUGUUGAAAAUCCUUCUAUUGAAACUGUGGGAAGGUGGAAAUAGAAGAGAAAAAUAGGAUGGAAUUAUAAUAAAUAAAAAGUGCACUAGCAAGACUGACUUAUUUGUAUCUUUGUACACUUUCCUAGAAAUAAAUACAACUCUGCCUUUGUGGCUUAGUCUCAAGAAGAGAGCCUAGACUAUAACUGUCAUCCUGGAAACUCACUGGCAUAACCAGAGCAAAAGCUUCUUAGCAACCGGUUUUUAAGUUGUUCUGCCAGUCAUUGAGGAAGUAAUACAGUGGUACUUAAAAGCUUAUGAAUCCAUUUUCCUCAAUAAAUAAAUUAACAAGUAUAAUGUU